rnacentral:rRNA from 1 species
GAUACGGCCCAGACUCCUACGGGAGGCAGCAGUCGGGAAUAUUGCGCAAUGGAGGAAACUCUGACGCAGUGACGCCGCGUAUAGGAAGAAGGUUUUCGGAUUGUAAACUAUUGUCGUUAGGGAAGAGAAAGGACAGUACCUAAGGAGGAAGCUCCGGCUAACUACGUGCCAGCAGCCGCGGUAAUACGUAGGGAGCGAGCGUUAUCCGGAAUUAUUGGGUGUAAAGGGUGCGUAGACGGGAAGAUAAGUUAGUUGUGAAAUCCCUCGGCUUAACUGAGGAACUGCAACUAAAACUGUUUUUCUUGAGUGCAGGAGAGGUAAGUGGAAUUCCUAGUGUAGCGGUGAAAUGCGUAGAUAUUAGGAGGAACACCAGUGGCGAAGGCGACUUACUGGACUGUAACUGACGUUGAGGCACGAAAGUGUGGGGAGCAAACAGGAUUAGAUACCCUGGUAGUCCACACCGUAAACGAUGGAUACUAGGUGUAGGAGAUAUUAAGUCUUCUGUGCCGUCGCAAACGCAGUAAGUAUCCCACCUGGGGAGUACGGCCGCAAGGUUGAAACUCAAAGGAAUUGACGGGGGCCCGCACAAGCAGUGGAGUAUGUGGUUUAAUUCGAAGCAACGCGAAGAACCUUACCAGGGCUUGACAUAUACAGGAAUACUUAAGAGAUUAAGUAGCUCUUCGGAGUCUGUAUACAGGUGGUGCAUGGUUGUCGUCAGCUCGUGCCGUGAGGUGUUGGGUUAAGUCCCGCAACGAGCGCAACCCCUGUUCUUAGUUGCCAGCAUGUAAAGAUGGGAACUCUAAGAAGACUGCCGUAGAUAAUACGGAGGAAGGUGGGGAUGACGUCAAAUCAUCAUGCCCUUUAUGUCCUGGGCUACACACGUACUACAAUGGAUGUUACAGAGGGAAGCUAAAUAGUGAUAUGGAGCGAAACCCAAAAAGCAUCCCCAGUUCGGAUUGUAGGCUGAAAUUCGCCUACAUGAAGCCGGAAUUGCUAGUAAUGGCAGGUCAGCAUACUGCCGUGAAUACGUUCCCGGGCCUUGUACACACCGCCCGUCACACCAUGAGAGUUGGGGAUACCCGAAGCCUGUGAGCCAACAGUUAAACGAGGCAGCAGUCGAAGGUAGAAUCAAUGAUUGGGGUGAAGUCGUAACAAGGUAGCCGUAUCGGAAGGUGCGGCUG